CGGGGUAAUGCAGGCACCCCUUUAGACGGUAAGCCGUCCAAGCGCUGC
rnacentral:ncRNA from 1 species